GUGUGCUGCUGCUGUCUGCACUGACUGUUUCUGCAGUCCUUGCCUGCCUGCCUCCAUUUUCUCCGAAUCGAGCAUUCCUCAACUUAAUGAUCAUCAUUCCGUAUUUCAUCUCCACCUUCCUGAUGGUGUCGAUUCAUGAAAGAAUCCAGAGAGAGCGCUCACUGGCCAUUUGCAUGGAAAUGGCGAUGCUUGAAAGUGCUCAGGGAUCUGAUGAAGGCUAUGAGGACAUUGAUGCUGACAUCACCACUGAGCAUGUUUUCUGACCUACAGAGACUGCUGACAGCCACUGAGAGCAAAUCAUCCAAAGGGGUAGAGGGGACCCUAACCAUGACCCGCCACCAGUGAAAUGAUGGUUAUAAAAGAUUACUCAGGAUCAUGUAUUUAUUUUUGUCUUUUAAAACGUAACCCUUCAGCCCUUCAGUUUCUGACUUGUUGAACACAAUUAAAACCAGGAUAUUUGGAUAAACCCAUCUCACAGAUGGUCAAUAAA